rnacentral:rRNA from 1 species
UGCGUAGGCGGUUUACUAAGUCAGAUGUGAAAGCCCCGGGUUUAACCUGGGAACUGCAUUUGAUACUGGUAGGCUAGAGUAUGAUAGAGGGGGGUAGAAUUCCUGGUGUAGCGGUGAAAUGCGUAGAUAUCAGGAGGAAUACCAGUGGCGAAGGCGGCCCCCUGGAUCAAUACUGACGCUGAGGUACGAAAGCGUGGGUAGCGAACA